rnacentral:rRNA from 1 species
GACAGAGGGGGCGAGCGUUGUCCGGAGUCACUGGGCGUAAAGCGCGCGCAGGCGGCAACCUAAGUGUCGUGUGAAAGCCCCCGGCUCAACCGGGGGAGGCCAUGGCAAACUGGGUCGCUCGAGCUGCGGAGAGGCCCCUCGAAUUGCCGGUGUAGCGGUGAAAUGCGUAGAGAUCGGCAGGAAGACCAAGGGGGAAGCCAGGGAGCUGGCCGCAUGCUGACGCUGAGGCGCGACAGCGUGGGGAGCACACCGG